CCUUCGAUAGCUCAGUUGGUAGAGCGGAGGACUGUAGUGGCGAAGCUCCUCGGGCAUCCUUAGGUCGCUGGUUCGAAUCCGGCUCGAAGGA
rnacentral:tRNA from 1 species